CGAAGACCCUGUCCCAGAUGUUGUGCUCUGCACCUCAUGGUUGGGUGGCUUCCAGCAGCUUCCUGAACCUGAGCCUGCUCUGCCAUCUGUACAAUGGGCACAACAUCAGCCUCACAUGGCUGAGAUGAGGCCAUGGGACACAAAGAUGGGGUCUUACCAUGUCAUCCAGGCUGGUCUCAAACUCGUGGGCUCAAGCGAUCCUCUUGCCUCUGCCUCUCAAGUAGCUGGGAUUACAGGUGUGAGCCAUUGCACCCGCCCAUUGCCUGUCAUUUGCAUGCAGAUGCUAUUCUAACAUGAAACCUUUUACUCAAAUAUUUAUCUACAAUGGAGUCUCUCCGGAGUCAAGCCAUGUCUCCACCGUGGUGAGGCCAUCAAUUCAUUUAAAGUGGUUUCCCAGAGCAAAAGCUGCACCUAUGUGCAAGUGAUGCCCACACUGAGUGUGUAUGGACAGACUUCAGGUGUCUUCUAUCAGGUGGGUUCCUGCUCCAGGCCCACCUUGUCC
rnacentral:lncRNA from 1 species